GUUGGACACCAUACCACACAGAAAGACCAUUCUAUUCAGGAUCUUACACUCAAAAUACUCAAGGGAAACUUUAAAAAUAUGAAGGAGAAGAAAGCAAAGGUUCAGAAUGAUACAUUUUUUCAACACUAAAGAUAAUGGACUAAAUAGGAUUGGGGAUUCCUGACACAGUACAGAUGUUUUAUAUCAGUACUUUGCUCAUUUUCUUCAAGUUGUUAUAUAGUUUUCACACUACAGCCAAAAUGUGUAUUUAUAAUAUGAAACACAGGCUUGUGUAUUAGUUUGUUUCUAGUUACCACACUCUGCCCUUCAUAACUCUUCUCAUUUAAAGGAAGACUCCACAUGAAAAUUUAAAGAAAAAAAAAUUGCUAUUCAGUAGAUAUACCCGCAAAGAAAACAUGUGCACAUUUAAUUAUACAUGUUGG